rnacentral:lncRNA from 1 species
CGCAUAAUCGAAUCAUCCCAAAAACCAGAAAAACCUGUGAUAUUACAAGUAUUGACUGCGAUCCUUAAUCAGACCAAACUGAGUUUCAACGAAAAGAAUUACAUAAUCCAACAGAGUGAUGUAAAAGCUCUUAAAUAUAAAAAAAAAAGAGACGUUUGAAACGGGAAGAAAAUUUGUGCAUUGAUGUUAAAGAGUGAUGUAAAAGCUCUUACACUGGGCAUUACAUAAGUGAGGUCCACAAUGCACUGCACCGAAACGGGAAGAAAAUUUGUGCAUUGAUGUUAUACACAUCUAUUUUACACAUCCAGCAAAUAGUAGAGCUGAAUGGCUAACUUAUCAAACAACAAAUAGGUUCUGUCUGGAGUAUGAUCACUGCAUAAGUUUUGGAAGGAGAUUUUUCAUAGUUGUCAAGAGUCAUAAGCAACUAUUUGUAUUGCUUCCAUGGUAACCAGACUGAUAAAAAUAAUAAGUUGCUAAAGUAUCACAACAUUCUUUACACACAUUCCUCUGAAAUGGUUAGUACGAAUAAGCAAAUGCAUAAUAAUGAAUUUUGGUAAGCAAUAUCUAGCUAUCCUAAAUAAAAAUUCACAGCACCACUGACAUGCCUAGUGCAUAAUAAUGAAUAUCGGGAAGCAAUAUACAGGCCAAUGCAAGCAAAGUAUCAAGAAUCUGCCAUAAAUAGGCUAGGCAUGUGCCACCACACACUACCAUGAGCACAACAUUUGCUCCAGCUUGUGCUUGGCAUGGGCAUGUCAUGCUAGAUCAUAAUCCUAAUCUCAAAGACAUACAUCCACUAGAAGUGGAGACUUAAGAAUCAUAGGACAUAGAAGAAUAAGAACCUAAGGCCAUGUUUAAAAGUUAAAACGAGUUAUGUUGUUACAUGCCAGCAUAUUUGUUCCUCCGAAAUGAAGAUAGCUUAACAUUGUGAAGCCUGAAAUUUCUCUACACCUAGACUCUUACAAGAUCUACAGAAUUAGGAGGAUUGCCUUUUCUUUUAUGAAUUUAAGCUGCAACUAAUAAGAAUGAUCACUAUAUCCAUCAUUUGUCCUAUCAAAAUCCCUACCUUGCCUAAAUUCCCAUUUGUUUAACCUCACUAUGUGGAAGUUACAGUAAAAAUAAUCAGGAUUAAUCACAAUACCCAUAAACAAGGGCAAUCCUACUAGGUCAAAACUUUACAAAGUAGAUCCUUUCGCAUAGUAAAUUUUUUGUAAUUAAAAAAAUACAAGAUUCUAUUGGUGAAUCUUUACAAAUAAAAAACACCCACUGGAUGUGUCAUCCAUUAUUCCUCAUUUUAAUUCUUUUAUUAUGUUUCUGUUAUCCCCAAAGACAAAAGAUUUCCUCAAGUUUACUUCCACUCUGAUGUUUUCCUUUUGCCAUUGGACUCAAUUUCCAGCAUUCCACUAGCGAUAGCAGGUUGCUUAGUUAUAAUCCUUGUGACAUGGAACAGUAAAAAGAAGAUCUUUGAAACUGAAACAAGGCAUGCAAAAGUCAACUCCAUUACAAGGCAUCAGGGCAGAGAAGUGUAAAUUGCUCCUUUUGCUUUCAGGGAAGUGAUGCAGAAUACAUGCAUGAAGGGUUUACUAAGGAAAGAUUUUUUCUUUUUUUUUAAGGAUUUGAUAUUUAUGGAAGAUAAUAUAUUAAGUGAUUUUGAGAAAAUAAUAAAAAGGAUAAUCUCAGACUCAAUUUGACACAGAAGACCAAAUGAAGACAACAUAUUGUACAUCUCAAACAUCUAAGUCGGAACAACAUCAAUAGGUGAAGGCUUUUUAUUAAUCAUCCUACUCCAUACAUCAUAGCACUUGAGAAUAAAAAUAAAAGAAAUCAAUUACUGAUCUGUUAAAGGAAUAAGAAAUGUGAAUAUGACAACCAAUCUCAAAUUUGAUUCAUUUAUCUUUUUACCAACUUCCUAAACUCAUCAAAAUGUCAAUCGGUCAUUUAUCUCCUUUUUUUGGAAAAAAGUAAACUUCUAAAUGUGUUUGCGAGAUAAUCUUCCUUAUUUUCUUGAUUUUUGGUUAGGAUUGACUUAUUUUCUAAUGCCCAAUCUUUAAUCAAGUAGUUUACUCCUAAUCAUGGAUUAUAAACUUGGUACAGUACCAACAUUGGUUUGUGCCUGAACUGAUAAGGUACUGUACAACAUGGCGACAAUAUGCAUGGGUCAGCAUCUAAUACUGCCAAGACCAAAGAUAAGACAGAGAGAGAGAAGGGGAGGAAGAAGGCAGCAAUGUGAAGUUGAGGAGGCAAAGGAGGGGAGAGAGUGAGAUUAGCAGAAGAAGUUAGAGAGAAGAAGAAAAAAGAUAAUACUGUCACAUUAAAGAAAAUGCAUCAGAUGGCUCGGUACCAAUCUACUUACCGAUUGGAGGAUGAGGAAAAGUAAGAGGAGACAAUGGAGGAAUAGGAGGAGGUGGCAGAAAAUUCCAGAUGGCAACGAGACAAUUGCGAUGUGACGAGACAGAGAAGAUGAAAAAAAAAGGAGAGAGAUAGCCUAACAUAAGAAGAGAGAGAAGAAAGAAAAAAAAAGGACAGUUCAUAGUUAUCAGAAAUUAAAAAGAAACACUACGACAACUCAUCAUCAGUCUGUUUAUUUGUCAGACUGAUGAAGGCAGGAGAUAGCAGAGGAGAAGGGAGGAAGAAGGCAGCAAUGUGAUGUUAAGGAGGCAAAGGAGGGGAGAGAGUGAGAUUAGCAGAAAAAGUUAGAGAGAAGAAGAAAAAAGACAAUAUUUGUCACAUUAAAGAAAAUGCAUCAGAUGGCUGGGUACCGAUCUACUUACCAAUUGGAGGAUAAGGCAAAGAAAAUGGAGACAAUGAAGGAGGAAUAGGAGGAGGUGGCAGAAAAUUUCAGAUGGCAAUGAGACAAUUGCGAUGUGAUGAGACAGAGAAGACGAAAAAAAGAGAGAGAUAGCCUAACAUAAGAAGAGAGAGAGAAGAAAGGAAAAAAAAGGACAGUUCAUAGCUAUCAGAAAUUAAAAAGAAACACUACUAGACAACUCAUCAUCGGUUUGUUUAUCGUCCAAUAAGCCUUUCAGUGAGCUCACGAUAUUAACCAACCCGAUAUAGGAUCAAUUGAGCAGCAUCAUCUGGUUUACUAAGUUGAUUGUCGAACCAAUAUACACCAACCCAUAUUAACCAGUACAGCCGAGAUACUAAUCCAUGCUCCUGGUCUUCUUUUUUUAUUUAUUUACUUCUUUGUCAAGCCUAAUGAACUAUGUAAAGACUUCUUAUAUUCAUAAAAUAACAAAAUGGCUCCCACAUAAUAUGCGUUCACAUGUAGGAACUCUUCCUCAAGCUCAAAUGCUCGAAACUCGGAAAUCCUCAAUUCAACAAUUCACGAUGAAUGUCUAUUUUGUGAUGUCCUAUAUUGAUGUUAUAGCCUUCAAAUCAACCUCAAUGACAGAAUAUCUUAGUUAAACCAAAAAAUCAAAUACCAAUCCGGUGUACGAUAAUCGUGAAAGAAAAAAGUGGGCAAUUUGGAAAAAGAAAAGUAUAAAUACCAAACUUACUUCUGAAAAAAUCACUUGAAAGUCUCACUUCUGCGUGCUUCAUGUCUCACACAUUCAUGAUGGAAUCACACCAUCAGAGAAGACAAUUUUUUAUGUUUCAUAACUCUAAUACAUUAUAGCAUAGCAUGAUGCCAUACAGAACUGUCAGCACAUUAAAAAAAACAGCUAGUUUCAAAUUUGAAUUAGUCAUCUUUUCAUUAAAUUUCCAUGCCCAUUAGGAUCCCAAUCAAUCAUAUAUCUUAGUAUUCAAGGAGAGAUAUACUUCCAAAUUGGGGAUUGACUUCUUUGGGCAUGAUCUUACAUAUCUUCUAUUUUAGCUAAUUUCUUAUCUAUUACUUAAAGAAAUCUUGGUAAGUCCAGAGAUUGUGCCCAAAAUAGCAAAACUAUUCCAAAGGAAACAAAAUGGCUCCAAAUUCACUUAUUUACUCCUCUACGCUGGCUACUAAUGGCCCACUUGUAUUUCCUUGUAAACAAUUAAUCCUAAAGAAGCAGCAAAUAUAUGGCCUAGGAUUAGGUUGGUGCAACAACCAAAACAUAUUUAUAUUCAAAGUUCACAAAUUAAGUUCAAGGAUGGCUUUUCUUGAGAAACACUACCGAUGCCUAUCCGAAGCCCAGGUGAAAAACGUUGAGGGUUGCGUUAGGUCACUGACAUCAAUAUAGAGCUAAGUCAUCACCCGAAAGUGACGUGAGACACCUUCACUACCUAGGUGUCCCAAAUUGCAAACGGUGGGCUAGGAAGUAGUCGGAAGCAGCCCAUCA